rnacentral:rRNA from 1 species
GACAGAGGUGCCAAGCGUUAGGCGGAAUCACUGGGCUUAAAGCGCGUGUAGGUGGAUUUGUAAGUACCUUGUGAAAUCCCACGGCUCAACCGUGGAACUGCUCGGUAUACUGCUUAUCUUGAGCCACUUAGGGGCAGUCGGAACAGACGGUGGAGCGGUGAAAUUCGUAGAUAUUCGCAAGAACACCAGUGGCGAAAGGCGGCUCACUGGUCCGGUUCUGACGCUGAGCGCGAAAGCGUGGGGAGCAAACAGGAU